CAAAGGAAUCAAGGAAUAUCAGAGGAUGCCUUCGCAAUAAGAGCCGAUGAAGGACG
rnacentral:rRNA from 1 species